rnacentral:lncRNA from 1 species
GUGAAUAGUUCACUCUUUCAUUCAUCAAAUCACAAGAAACAUAACAAAAAAAUGUUAAUGCUGCACCAUAACUGCUGAAUGUGUAAACAAGAAACUAAGUGUUGUUUGAUUCUGCUCCCUUCUUAAUCCUGGUACCUUUUAUUCCCCAGUGAGACUGCAGACACCCAGCAUCUCCCUGACCUCUCCUAGUGCAGGUCUGGUCUGGGGUCCUGAAGGUGCAGAGAUCACCAGGGUUACAGUUUGUCCUCACCUGCUCCGUUAACUCCAGAUUUUCCAGUGGACGUUUCUUUCUCAUCUUCUCUGACUCCAACAUCACAGACAGCAAGCCAGCAGUCAACAACUCAGCCUCCUUUAGUUUCCCUGUAGCUGAGUAUGAACACCAAGGCAACUACAGCUGUGUGUAUGAAGUCACAGUGUCCACACAGACAUUCAAUUCUACUGCAACAGCACCCAUUACUGUCAUCAUUAAAUUUCCUUGGAUGCUGAUGGUCUCAACUGUAGUUCGUGUGGUCCUGUUGCUCCUGCUGGUCUUAUUGGUGGUCUUACUGGUGCUCAGGAGAAGGAGACAAACACAGCAGGCCCACAUCCACACCACAGUGACUCUAAAAACCUGUAAUGAAGAAGAUGACGUCAGUGAUAAGAGAGAGGAUCUAUAUGAAUGUUGAGACAGUGAACAUGUAUUGUGAUGAAUUAUUAUUGCUGUUGCAUUUUAGCCAGUCAUAAAUACGGAGGAAAAAAACAACAUUUGAACCUAUUACAGAUUACACAUUUGGAAUUUUUGUCUCAUAAUACUGCCUGAUAAACUUCAGUGAAUAUAGUCCAAUAUUAUGUAGCACAAUAUAGUACGUUUGGUAACUGAUUUUUUUGUGUCUGUAAAAUGACAGUGAAAUGUGUUAUUUGUAAUUGUGUGAUACUUUAACCCAGGUGUGUCAAGUCCAUAAAGAGUCAAUGGGGAAAUAAAAAUCACAUCAAUGGCAUAUGUAGUCUGUCAGCAUGCUUUCAUUUCAUUAAAAAUUAGAUGCCUUGUGCAUCAUUUCCAGUCUACUCUAAAUGAAACCAAAAUCAACAGAAGGAUUUUAGCAAGUAAGUCAAAUAAUAUCACAGCCUUGUUGCAGAUAAGGCUCUCAUAUAACAAACUCAUAUCAACCUGCGUUUAGAGCCUGAAUUUGUGAUCUACUGCCCGUAUAAACAAGUACAUCAUGAUGUAAAAGAAAGUUUAGUUUUGUUCUUUCACAUAUAGCUACAGGUUUUAGCUAGCCCGUGACAACUUGAAAAUAAUGUAUGUAAGAUACUUUCUUUUUUUAAAGUAA